UACGGAGGGUGCAAGCGUUAAUCGGAAUUACUGGGCGUAAAGCGUGCGCAGGCGGUUUGUUAAGUCUGUUGUGAAAUCCCCGAGCUCAACUUGGGAAUUGCAAUGGAUACUGGCAGGCUGGAGUAUGGUAGAGGAAGGUGGAAUUCCCGGUGUAGCAGUGAAAUGCGUAGAGAUCGGGAGGAACACCAGUGGCGAAGGCGGCCUUCUGGACCAAUACUGACACUGAUGAGCGAAAGCCAGGUGAGCAAACGGG
rnacentral:rRNA from 1 species